GCUCCGGUAGUAUAGUCGGGUCAAGUAUUCCGGCCUUUCGAGCCGGAGACCCGGGUUCAAAUCCCGGCCGGAGCA
rnacentral:tRNA from 1 species